CAGCCGCCACGGGAAUACGAAGGGGGCUAGCGUUGUUCGGAAUUACUGGGCGUAAAGGGAGCGUAGGCGGACAUUUAAGUCAGGGGUGAAAUCCCGGGGCUCAACCUCGGAACUGCCUUUGAUACUGGGUGUCUUGAGUGUGGAAGAGGUAAGUGGAAUUGCGAGUGUAGAGGUGAAAUUCGUAGAUAUUCGCAGGAACACCAGUGGCGAAGGCGGCUUACUGGUCCACAACUGACGCUGAGGUGCGAAAGCGUGGGGAGCAAACAGGAUUAGAUACCCGCGUAGUCCCUGUCUCUUAUAC
rnacentral:rRNA from 1 species